rnacentral:rRNA from 1 species
CCCUUAGAUGUUCUGGGCCGCACGCGCGCUACACUGUUCGACGCAGCGAGUCUUAACCUUGACCGAAAGGUUUGGGUAAUCUCCAGCAAAGUCGAACGUGAUGGGGAUCGAUCAUUGCAAUUAUUGAUCGUGAACGAGGAAUUCCUAGUAAGUGCAAGUCAUCAGCUUGCGCUGAUUACGUCCCUGCCCUUUGUACACACCGCCCGUCGCUACUACCGAUUGAAUGGUUUAGUGAGAUCUCUGGAUUGACGCUGGCUAGGGGGCGACCCUUGGCCAGGCUGUCGAGAAACUGCUCAAACUUGAUCAUUUAGAGGAAGUAAAAGUCGUAACA